AUUUCCAGCGUGUGGAGGGUCGGGAAAAUACGGCAGCUUUUUUCCCACUGAGUUAAAGCUUGGCAGCUCCCCACCACUGCCCCCUGCUGCAACUAUGUAGAGAGAAGUGUCAUGAAAUAAUAUAAUUUUAUCUGCAUCAUUGCCUUCUUGAGGUAUAACGUUUAGAUGAGCUCAGAUGUAAAAAAGUAGCCUGUGAAUACCAUAAAUUCACCGACUCGGGGAAGGAAGUGUUGACUGUAAUUAAGCUCAUGUGGAGGUGUGCGUGACACAAAGCAAAAAUGCUGCGCUAAAGCAAAGCAGCUCUUUAAACGGUCUGACACCUUCCUGAGGGCGAUACUUUUUUACUUUGCGUGAGCUACACAAUAGGAGCACAUCAUCCACGAGGCUCAGUUACAAAUUAAAAACAAUUUUUGCCUCAGGUUUGGUGGUACUUGAUGUAAUCCUCAGAGUUGUUUGACCAGUGGUUAUUUCAAGUCCUGCUGAGCUAUUCACUUGCUCAGGGAUCAGAGUCUAAAGCUAGGGUAAUUUAUCUAGUGCUUUUCUCUGAAAUCCAAGUGUGUGGUGAUGUUCCAAUUUCAUCACCCCCAAAAAGUCACAAAAAAUUAUUUUCCAGUGCACAAUGAACUACUUGUACACUGAGCUGUUUGUGCAUUUGCAUGAGCAAAUUAUAUGUUCCUUUUAAAUGUAUAUCUUACAUAACCUGUGAGUAUGCGCAUGAGUGUACCAUGUUUCUGCAUACCAUGCUUGUAUGUGCCAUAUAAAUGUUGUGUAAGCAUUUUUUUCCUUUCAUAUAUCAAGAUAAGUGAUCUGUCAAGAUUAGAGCUGUAUUGCACUGCCCGCCUGUGCUUAUAAUUCCUUCGAAUUUCAUACAUAAUGAAACCCUGAGGCGGGGCUUCACGUGUGCAUGCUGCCGAUGUCAUGGUAAGCGCUGGUGUGUCAUAGAUGCCUGAAUAAAUGUUUUCAUUAUACCACAAAAGCAGAACUGUGGUCAUGCUGAAAGGCACGGAGGAUACCAGACAGUCUUUGAUCCACAGGCUGAAAGAGCACACACUCCUGAUCCACACAGGCGAUAGCAGCCUAUUAGCACCUGCCGUCAGCCUCAGCUCUGCUGUUCACAGAUCUGUUUUGGAUGUCAACCAGUUCCUGAGGAAAAAUCUGCUAUAUGCUGUACGACUAUCUAUUAACUGUCUUUCUCCAUCUGUAAGUUUAUGUUAGUGGACUCCAUCUCUAAACUAAGUUUAGCUACUGUUGAUGAGACACUCAAAAAGGUGCAUAAAAUCACAUCGUUUAGACUGUCAUAGAAAAUCUGACCUGAGUCCUUCACAGAGAAACCCACAGUCCGGCAGCAUUAAACGACUUAAGGAAAUCUUUCACAGUCUUGUAGGCAACCUAGAUAAAUGGGGAAGGUCUCAUAUCUUGAUUUCUUCUGUAAAGCAGUGAUAAGGGCCAGGACUAGGCGAACAAAUCAAAUUUCACGUUAUUUUUGAUAUUGAUAUGUUAGAAUGACUAUUGGUAUUUUCAUAAAACAUUAAAACAAUAAGAUUUUUGAUAAAUACAACAGUCUGGUAAGUUUAGAAAAUUACAUAAUUUUACUGUGACGUAGCCCUUGAAACGGAUAAAAAACAACACUUAACAAUAUCCAAGAUCUAUGAUGAUAAAUAGUCUCAAAUCACAAUAACUAUAUAUAUGUGUGUAUAUAUAUAUAUAUAUAUAUAUAUAUAUAUAUAUAUAUAUAUAUAUAUAUAUAUAUAUAUAUAUAUAUAUAUAUAUAUGUAUAUAUAUGUAUAUAUAUGUA
rnacentral:lncRNA from 1 species